AAAUAUGCCACGGGGAGAAAGAGCAGCGGGAAGCCAACCAGGAAAAAAAAAAAGCCCAGUUGGGAAAAGGGAAGGUUGAGUGCCCAAUGAAGAAGAGAGAGGAAAAUGAGGUGACUAAUCAAAAAUAGAAGAAAUGAGGGGAAGAGAGAGAGGCAAGAUGCACGAAAUCAACCCUUGAUCAGUGCGACCAGCGACCCGGUUGUAGUUGGUGGGUUUCUCCGGCGAAAUUCAUCGUUUUCCGACAAAUUGGGCCGAUCCACCACUCCCAAUCAUGAUCUAGCCCUUCCCUUUUCCAUUUCCAACCAAAUCUUAUUAGGUUUGAGCUUGAAUUCUUGUAGAACGGAACCCGUGGGUUCCAAGGGUGCCAUUGCGAAAUCCGACGAUCAUGAAAGAAAUGUCGACCACCACCACCAUCAAACAACUUCCCUUGAGGCCAGGACAAAGCCUAAACCACCAUGGGCGCGGCUGAGCACUGAAAACGAAGAAUCAAAACCCACUCAUAUCUAGGGUUCCAGUGGGUUUCGAGGCAAAUUGGAGCCUUUCCCAACCAAAUUGGACUUGGCCAUAGAUUGGAUGGUGAAUUGGGAGAAGACCAAAUUGUCUAUCUUGGAGGAAGCAAUGACACAGAGGUCAAUGAGCAUAAUGGCCAAAAUGAGGAAGGCGUCGACGUGAAUGAGCUUGCGGGUCCAUCUGAUUUCGAGCCGCUUCUCGAUAAGAAAAUGCGGCAAAAGCAUAAAGAAAUGCAGCUUGUGCACCAUUUCACCCAUUUCCAAUCCUACAAAAGAAGUAAAGUUGGCGAUAGUCGAGCCAAGGGUGUCGGAGUUGUCCCAGAUCCCAUACGAAUCAUCCCCAAGCCCGAUGUGGAAGUGUUCAUCGACAUCGUGACGAGUUGGGCACAUUCGCCGAGCGAUGGAGUCGACAUGUACACAUUGGUUACUGUGGGUCGGUUUUUUUACCACACUCAUCCAUUUCAAGGCACAUCAACGUCGGCCUUUACCUUCUGAGGAAGUGAUCGAUGGAGCAUCCUAAACUUUUCGGGGAUUGGUGGACAACGAUUGACUGUUUUUUCUGGUGCCCGAAAAAAUGAAAAAGGAAGUUACGGAUUUUGAGAAUGGCAAAACCAAUGUUAAAGGCAAUGGGAAGGCAAAGGCAAAAGAAGCUUUGGUUUUUAGGCCUUUGAGAUAGUUGAUCAAUGUCGUUUUAGGCAUUGCAGACAUGAUGCCAAACAUGUGUGAAUGGGAGGAAGUCGACGAAGUAUUCAUCUCAUGUCACAUGAAUGGUGACUACUGGUUGUUAGCUCAUGUCCAUCUCUAACGUUGCACCAUCAUGGUUUAUGAUUCACAUUUCUCGAGGUCAGAGUGGGAAAAAAAUGAAGAAACAACUUGUGCAUAUGUGUUUUGUAAUUCCCACACUUCUAAAGGUGACAGAAUUCAACAAGGCGCGACCCGUUUUGAACCUAACCCCGAAAACGAUAGAUAAACUGUUUGAUAUUGAGCAUGUAAUCAAGUGCGGCCAACAGGACAACAAGGCAGACUACAGAGUUUUUUGAUUAAAAUUUGCCAACUACCUAUCCACUGGCUUGGCCAUUCAUGACAUUGCUCCUCGGAACAUGGGGGUUUUCAGACUCAAGCUUGCCAUCGAGUUCAUAAGAGGUCGUGCAUUUUUGUGAAAGGUUAUGUGGACAUUUAUUUGAGCAGUUUUUCUUGUUAUAACCAAACAAUUCGGCUCCUUUUAAGUUUUGUACAAUUUGCAGUUUAGGUGUAAUCGUAAUUUUAGUACUUAGUAUGUAAUCAUAAUUUUAGUACACUUUUCCAUUGCUUGUUUUCGAUAUUCAGUAUACAAUCUUAAUUUUAUUACU